AUGGGCAAGCUCCUGUGCGCAUCACUAUUGAUUCUGUGGAUUCAGGCAGACUGGGUGAAUAGUCAACAGAAGAAUGGUGACCAGCAGCAGGUUAAGCAACAUUCUCCAUCCCUGAGUGUGCAAGAAGGAGGAAUUUCUAUUCUGAACUGCAACUACAGUAAUAGUUUGUUUGAUUACUUUGCAUGGUACAAAAAAUACCCUGCUAAAGGUCCUGAGUUCCUGAUAUCAAUAAGUUCAGUUAAGGUUAAAAAUCAAGAUGAAAGAUUCACGGUCUUCCUCAACGUGAGUGCCAAACACCUGUCUCUGCACAUCUCGGCCUCCCAGCCUGGAGACUCGGCCUUGUACUUCUGUGCAGCAACAUCUUCGGGCUGGCAACUGACCUUUGGAUCCGGGACCCAACUGACUGUUGUACCUGAUAUCCAGAAUGCUACUCCUGCUGUGUACCAGCUGAAAAGCCCUAAACCCAACGACACUCCCAUCUGCCUAUUCACCGAUUUUGAUUCUAAGAUGAAUGUGUCAGGCAUCUUUAAUGACACAGUAAUCAGCUUGAAAAAUACGGUGGUGGACAUGAAAACCACAUCUUCCAAGAGCAACGGGGUCCUGUUCUGGAGCAAAACCGCUGAUGUGGGAUGUGGAGGAAUCUCUGACGAGAUAAGCUACCACUCCAGCGCAGGAAUUCCCUGUGAUGCCAAGUUGAUAGAGAAAAGCUUUGAAACAGAUGUGAACCUAAACUCCCAAAACCUGUUAGUGGUCGCGUUCCGCAUCCUAUUCCUGAAAGUGGCUGGGUUUAACCUGCUCAUGACGCUGCGGCUGUGGUCCAGCUGAGGCCGCCAGGAAUGGGAGAGCCCGGCACUCCGGCUCCUCACUGCCCUCCUCUCCGUCUUCGAGCAGAGAGGCACUCUCAGCCUCCAUGGAAAAGUCCCCUCUGCUUCUCUGUAAUGCCACCAAUUGGAUCCUCCCAGACAGUUGUGAUCAGGAUGCUGAAGACCUGCCAAACACUGCGGCCACCCCUUCCGUUCCCGCCGUGCUGCUUGUCACUGCCUGACUUUCCCGGCAAAGGCAGGGGCUGUGGCUGCCUCUCCUGGCUGUGGAGACUCCCCCUACCCCUGCCUCUGAUGUCCCACUGGGUGAUGGGUCCCCAGGGGGUUCUCUCAGGCUCUAGCUCCUGAAAAAUGUUGUCAGGGGCUGAUAUUUUUAAAUAAUGCUCAUAGAGAGACACAUAUUACCCUUUUCCCCAAGAUGUGGGGAAAUUAUCUCCUUAUCUAGGCCUCGCUAUGCUGUAUAUCUGAGCCACAUUGUGUAUUCUGCUGCCAUGACUUCAUUAAAAGUGAUUUAA